AUUGAACGCUGGCGGCAGGCCUAACACAUGCAAGUCGAGCGAGCGGCGGACGGGUGAGUAAUGUAUGGGGACUGCCCGAUAGAGGGGGAUAACUACUGGAAACGGUAGCUAAUACCGCAUACUAUCGGAUAACCCAUAUGGGAUUAGCUAGUAGGUGAGGUAAUGGCUCACCUAGGCGACGAUCCCUAGCUGGUCUGAGAGGAUGAGCAGCCACACUGAGACUGAGACACGGCCCAGACUCCUAGGGGGGCAGCAGUGGGGAAUAUUGCACAAUGGGGGAAAGCCUGAGGCAGCCAGGCCGGGGGUAUGAAGAAGGCCCUAGGGUUGUAAAGUACUUUCAGGCGGGGGGCGUUACCGACAGAAGAAGCACCGGCUAACUCCGUGCCAGCGGCGGCGUAAUAC
rnacentral:rRNA from 1 species